GACGAGCGCUGGCGGCGUGCCUAAUACAUGCAAGUCGAACGCAGUGGGGACGGGUGAUUAACACGUGGGUAACCUCCCAUCAGAGGGGAUAACACUUGGCAACAGGUGCUAAACCGAUACUGAUUGAGCUACCCGCGGUGCCUUAGCUAGUUGGUGAGGUAACGGCUCACCAAGGCCACGAUGAAUAGCCGACCUGAGAGGGUGAGCGGCCACACUGGGACUGAGACACGGCCCAGACUCCUACGGGAGGCAGCAGUAGGGAAGCUUCGGCAAGGGACGAAAGUCUGACCGAGCAACGCCGAGUGAGUGAAGAAGGUUUUCGGAUCGUAAAACGCUGUUGUUAGAGAAGCGGUAUCUAACCAGAAAGCCACGGCUAACUACGUGCCAGCAGCCGCGGUAAUAC
rnacentral:rRNA from 1 species